GCCUAUGGCAGGGGUUUGGAAUGAGGUGGGCUUUGAGAUCCCUCCCAACCCAAACCAUUCUGGGAUUCUGUGAUAAAUCUGAGCCAGUGGUGUCCUGGCUCAGGAGAUGAGAUAGCACUGGCUGGAGUGAUGGAGCAGAGAGACAGCAAGGAAGGUUUAGGAAAGAAGAGGCACUCCUUUACUUUUGUUAACUUAAUCUUGAAAUUAUUCCCCUUGUAGCAGAAAACAGCUGCACAGGAAAAGCUGAGUCACUGAUACAAACAUGGUUAUUUACAAGUGACUCUAGUGAUGGAAAAGCCAUUUGUGCAGGAGUAGAAUCCCAAAACAGCUCCCCUUGGGACUGAGAGGGGAGCUGGGAGAAGGAAGCUGAAGGUGGAGGUGUUCCCCAGGAAGUUCUGCAGUGGAAGUCUCAGCUCUCAGUCCUGUGCUGCUCACAGAGCUUCCAGGGAUAUCUGUGUGGGCACACAGAACAUCCUGAGCUUUUAACUCUGCUAAUGCUCCUGGUUUCCACUCCCUCUCUGGUUCUGGGGCUGCAGGCUUCCCUCUGGCAGAUGCAGCCAUGGGAUUGGCUCAAGGACAGCUCCCUGCCCUUAAUUCCCCUGGCUCACUGUGCUAAUUCUGCUCUGUUAAUCACCUUAGAGUCAAUUUAAGGUGCUUCAUGCCAAAGGACACUUAUGUGGGUCACAGCUCAGUGACACCUUUGCUCUUUCUGCAUCAGCACCUGGACAGAGGUGACUUGUCCUUUGCCUUUGGUAACCUUCAGCUUUGCUAGGCCACCUGAGCUGUCUGGCAGAACCAGGAGGAAGGAGGGAAGCAACAAUCCAACUUUCCAUCAAACUGAGGGCAGAUAAAUAACGUCUCAGGAGAGCUGGAGCAGUGUCUGAUGGUCCCACGGGGCUUUUGGACAAGGAAACUUUUGCAACCACCCCAAAAUCUUGGCAGCCCUGGCAGAUGUUAGUCCUCAAUAGAAGAGGGAAAUUGGGUUCCAAAUUGAUUAAUUUCACACUGGAAUGAUGUGUAUGUGGAGAAGACCUCAUGGACUGUGUUUGAGUAGUGCCUGAACCAACUGAGUUGGGAAAACCCAAAAAACCAUUUUUCUGUUGUCAGUAGUUGGGCAUUGCUACUUUCUCCCCGCUGUGCUGGUUUUAAAAGCCUGGCUUUACACAUUCAAAAUACACAAAUGAGUUAAACCCUCUCUUACUGCAGCCUCUGGGACUCAUCCCUGUGCCAACACCACCACAUCCAGGAGAGCUUCUCUGAAACCAUUUAGUAAAUAUUUCAAUAGAGACCUUUAAUAGAGAGACAUUGCAGAAAGGAAAUUGCUUCUUAAUCUCUGUCUGCUGUUUUGUGUUUGAUUCAUUUGUGCAUCACAGGACAGAGCAGGCUCAAUGUCUUUUUGCUUUUAAUUCUUUAUUUUGUGCAGACAAAGCCAUUCCUGGGGAAUGGUUUGGGCUUGAAGGGAUCUCUAAUGAUCAUCCAGCUCCUGACUUGCCCAGAAGCUCCUGCUGCACCAUUCAAGCCCAGACAUCCUGUUACUGUGGAGCUGUUGAUUUUCUGCAGGGAUGUGGAGGAGUCAUGGUGCUGGAAUGCUGCUGGAACACUGUGCCUUCACCAUUCCUUGCCCUCUAGUGCUGUUGGAUUCCGUUUCACUCACAUACCUUCACCAAAUCAGGUGUUCAGUUUUAGACUCAGUGAGCUCCAGCAUGAUGGGGAGACAAGAAUGAGCAAGACAUGCAAUUGGAAUUGGCAGCAGUGCUUUGAUUUCUGGUCACACUUUAUUUCCUCCUCCCCGGGGUGAUGGUGAAGCACAGGCUGUGCUGCUUUGCUCCAUUUGGGGUUGUAAGUGUGCCCUAAAGGUUUGUGAACUUGCAAAGGGUGAUAAUUUCAGCUCUGAGUGAUUUACCUGGAGAUGCUGGACCAGGAACUGGCCCCAGUGGAGAAACCAGCAGCAUCUUCAGCUCAGAACCCAAACUUCCAGGUUUUAUUAGGCAUCUAUCAGCAGUAAGGGAACAAAACACACAGAGAAAGUACAAUAUGGCUUCUAUAUUUUAUAGAAAAACCAACUGCUGCUUAAUGAAGGCCAGGCUAAUUGAGGCCAAUUAAAUUAAUCAGCCAAGUGAACCAGCCACACCCAUUCUGAGGAGGAUGGGUGCCAUCACAGGCAAUUACUGUGAUUAAUCCUCUCAUUGUGAUCCCCACAGCCAGCAUCUGGCCAAGAAGUUGGGGAGUUACCUAACUGUGCUCAGGAGGAUGCUGCAGGCAAAGGUGGUGCUUCCAGAGUUUUAAAAACCUGUUGCAAGAAGGAAGCUCACAAAUGUGGCUGCCCCAUCCCUGGAAGUGUUCAAGGCCAGCUUGGAGGGGAUAAAAACUGUACAUCUGAACACCAUGAAGCUGUUUCUCCCCAUGCUGAUGCCACACACAAAUUAUGUUGUGAAGAAGCUUCCUGAAACCUCUAGAACUGUGCCCCUGCAAAGUAAGUAAAACAUUAUUUUUUUUAAAGGCAAUAUUGUUCAAAACAAUAUCGAUUUGUAACAGUUAAUUUUUGUGUAAGAGCCACCCGUGUUUGCAUUAGGGGAACCUGUUUGUUCUGGGAUGAAAUGAAAGCCCUAAAAAUGGGGUCAUUUUCUGCUUGGAGUUCUGUGACACCUCGUGGCACCUGAUUUUGGGCAGGAUGAGUUUGCCUAUGGAGCAAUUCCUUUGGACUCUGGCAAGCUCCAGUGUUGGUUUUAGGGGGCAGAUAAGGAUAAUCUGGCCAUCACUUUGUCUCCUGACCCUGGAGAGCCUGUGGGUUCCCUCUGUCUGCCCCUUCACCUGAUGGGACAGGUUUCAAUGGGUUCAUCUGCCAGAACCAGCUCUGUCAAAGCCUCUGGGCUGACCUCAAGACAGUUUUGAUCUAAAAUCCUCCACUGGUGUCGACCCAAAUCCCACCAGAGCAUUGGAUGGAGCUGUGGGUUGGAAAAGCUGCUGCAAGGUGCUGACUACACCCCAAGAUGAGCCAUGAAUGGGCACAAAAUGGACUUUAAGAAAAUUGUAGUAUGCUUCUAUGAAGUUUUCACAACAACUUUGUUCUCAGCUGUUUCCUCAGACAGUCUGAAGGCCGAGUUUGCCAGGCAAAUCUUUGAUAGGAAAAUCUCCUUUCCUUUGGUGUUUGUUCCCAGGAUGAGGGGAAGCAGCAGUAUUGAUCCUGAGAUUGUGGAGGCUAAUAAAGAAAUCCAUCUGUGCUAUUGAAGUCAAUGGUAUCAAAGUAAUUACACUAAUUUCACCGUGUGAAGUGGAAAAAGGACUUUCCACACUCACUGGCUAACAGCUCCUCCAUAAAAAGCCCCAGGAAAACCAAGGGAAGCCAUAAUAAGCAAGUCUGAUCCCAGCUCCUUUUUUAGUUUGCUUCCACAGUGUUCUUGGCUUGGGAUCUGAUUUUGAACUGCUAAAAAAAACCAGUUACAAGGCUAAAUCUGAAACCGGAGCUUGAAUCACCCUUUAUGUCAUCACCCUUUAUGUCAAAUCCUACCCGACUCUUUACAAUUCUGAAUUGUUUUUGAUCUCUGAGCAAAACCUGGAUGGUGACAUUCCCACCCUAGAAGUGUCCUGACUUGCUUAGUUGGCAUCUGCAUGCCACCUGCUUGUGGGUUUGUAUGGCAGAAGGAACUCCAAGAGGGAACAAAUUCCUUGAGCACCAGUGGCUCUGGAAAAAAAACACAUAAAGCAUCUGUAUGGUCAACAAAUAGUUAUGAUUUUAUUGAGUGGUAGAAUACACAAGGAAAAAAAAUUGCUCUUUUUGAGUUACUGGAUUUUUUUUCAAAGAAUUAAGAAUAACCAGGAGCUGUCCUAUAGGAAUGUGGGUUUGUUGUUUUAACAUUGGAAAUGUUAGGGCUUUGUUAGGAAGGCUUUCUUGGGAAGGCAUCUACUGAGGAAAAGGAUGUCUUUGCCCUAAUGAAGACCUCAAAUCCAGCCAGAGAGCUCAGCCCCUGCAGCAGGGAAUGAUGGUGACAGGACAUGGGUCCUGACAAGCCUCCCAAGCCCUAUUUCAGUGAGCAGUUGGCACCUAGACUCCUCAAAUCCGUGCUUGGAGGGAAAACUCCGAGGAAAGUCCCCUAAAUCCCACUGUGCCCCUGCCUGGGAGCUGGGGGCAGUGAGUCCCUGCUCCCAGGGCUGUGGGAGGGGGGCUCAGUGUGAGACCCAGCUCACUCCGAGGUGCCUGUGGAUGUCACCUGUCCCUGCCACCCCCUCUGAGCCCCAGCUCUGCCCUGUCCUGCCCUGUGGCUCCAGCACAGCCCUCCAGGCAGAUUCCAGCCAUGCUGGGAGAUCAUGGGACACCUGAUCCCAAAUUUCUCCUCCUUCAUCCCUCAGUAUUUUUUCUCCAACUCUCAUGCAUCCCUCCCCAACCCCUGACCUUCCCAAACUUCUCCCAUCUCUCAUUCUCUUCCCAAAACACACCCAGAGGCUUCUCUUUGCUGCAGUUUGUGCUUUUCUCUGGCAUCCUCAAUCAUCCUGGUCCUCUAGCUCCUACUCCAGUCCCCCACAGAGAGUGGGGAAAAUAAAUCUUGUCCUUCCCUGGCUGUUGUUUGGUUCUCUGCCCUGAAACCAGCUCUGUGUUUCCAGCUCCCCACUGCCAUGUGUGUAGCUGCGUUCAAUAAACCCUGGCAGGCUCCCAGCACCUCAUACUGGCUUAGAGGUUGGUUUUUUUUUUCCAUGUUUGUGUCUCAUUACAGUGCAAAUGAAUGACCCUUAUCAAGUGAGACAGUGGACAAGAUUUCACCUCAUUAUUUUCAGAGAAACUGGUUAGUUAA